GACAAACAGUAGUUAUGAAAAUUAUAUCAAGAACGAAGUUCAUGCACAUAAUAUGAAGAGAAGACGGACCAAGUGAAGAAAAUCAAGCAAAAAAGAAAGAUUUGUUUAAAUUUUUAUCUUAAUUUUUUUAUUAUAUUUAAGUUAUUUUUUCUUAGAAGGAAAAUAAAAGUUACCAUAAUUAUUUUUACUUUUCUUGAAAGAAAAAAAUAUAAUUCUUUUAUAUAUUUAGCUAACCUCUUUCUAAUUACUUUUUAGAUUUCUUGAAAAAAAAAAUAUAAUUCUUUUAUAUAUUUGGCUAACCUCUUUCUUGGAGAAAAAAUUUUGAACAUCUAUAAAUAGAAGACCCUUCUCAUACUAUGACACAAUAACAUCCACAAUGUAGUUUUUAAAGAGUCUUUCAUAACAUAAUAGCAUCCACAAUGUAAUCUUUAAAGAGUGUUUGUUUAGGGGAGAUUUUCUUCUCUCAUUAAUUUUUAUGUUUAAUAUUAGAUUUUAUAUGUAGGUCAAUUGGCCAAAUAAUAUAAUAAUAUUAAAUUUUUUAAUAUUAUUUUAUAUGUCUUCUGAAUUAUCACCAUAAUAAUUUGGAACUAACAAGCUUCCACAUGAUGCUCCUCUCGACUUCGAACCCAACACCAUUCAUGUAGCCAUGUUUUGGAGAGAACGCUCAUCUUGGCUGCUUCUUUAAAGACAACAUGGGAAAGUACAAUGUGAAUGACACAAUCAGGUAACACAUCAGCUGUUGUUGUCCUCAUGGUGGCACAGAGCUAGAGUAUUGGUUACUGUUCGACAUAACUCAGUAAUCAUGAAUGUAAAAUUACGAAAACAGAAUCUGUAAACUCAAAAUUCUCUAACAUUGUGAUUCAUGCAAAAUCUUGAAAGUCAGAAUAGAUAAACUAGAUCUGCGGCAAAAAAAAUAACGUCAAAAAAAAAAUUACUAUUAGGAGUAAUAGAUUUAUUAAGGAUUUCAAAUUGAGUCCUAUUCAUAGGAGGAAAAAUAAUGAAGAUAGGUUUCCAUCUUUGUGUAACACAACCACAUGAAAAGAAAAAAAUAUUAUAUUUUUUUCUUUACAAAAUGGGAAAAGACUUGAAAAUAAAACUCAUGAAAAUGAGAAAAAGUCAAAUUAAUGUGAAAUUUUUCGCUUAUCGAGAGUUAAUUUGAUUAAUUAGUGAAAUUAAAUGGUUAAAUUAAUGUAAUAUUUUAAAAUUAAAAUUUAAGUAUUCAAAGAAUAUUUAAAAAUAUUAUAAAGUGCACUUUUUCUCGUUAAUAUGAUUAAACAAAAAAACUAUAUAUCAGUAAUUAAAAUGAUUUGAAUCCCGAAGAAGGGAAAAUGUCUUAUAAAUUGGAAUGCAUGGAGUAAUAUUUUAGGAAAAUUUCAUACGUAGUGGUAAUAGCACCCAACGACAACAACAUAUCAAUAAAAUUCCACAAGUAAGAUUUAAAAAAAUAAAGUUCAUGAAAGUUCCGACUUAAAUAAUGUAUAUCAAAGUACAUAUAAAUAAGGAAGACAAAACACAUAUUAGAGGAAACAUUACAUAGUUGGUGCUCCUCAUGUCAUGUUGAAUCUAGACAUGUUAGAGAACUUCUGUAGAUGAUUAUUUUUAAAAUUUCUUUUCAAAUCUUUAAGAAGAAUUGAUGGAGAUGAAGAG
rnacentral:lncRNA from 1 species